UACGGGUCUGACACCCUAACCGCUGAUCCACAACAGUUUGAUUUAAAAAAAAAACAGAAAGUUGCUCCUGUUGUUAAGACUAAGGCAGGUGUUCAAGUUCAGUUUGCCUUUACUGUAAAUUCAGAUCAAUAUCUUAGUGCUACCCAGGGCCAGUAGUGAUAUCCAACCACAACCGCUACAGGCCUCAAAGCCCCCGUCACUCUCCAUGCUCUGCCCACUGUACCUCGAAUGCAUAUUCCCAUACCUCAGUACGUCUCCUCCCAUUCAGCCCAACCUGCUCAGUCCACUGUACCUCACUCAGAAACCCCCUUUACCCCCCGCUCAGCACAAGAAACGGAUAUGAGAAAUAUCCUGGAAAAUCAAAAUAACAAAAAAAUUUGACAUGGAUUCUUAUGAAACAGCAACUUUUUACCACUUUGCCACCAGGAAGCAUCCCAGGCUUUGACGGGCAAGUCCUGGAAUACAAAUCAUUCAUUCACUCAUUUGAGAACCUGAUUGAAGCUAAAACUGAUAAUAAUAGAGACCGCCUGCAGUUUCUUAUUCAGGCCAGGAACAAAGACUAGUUAAGAGCUGUGAGUACAUGUCAGCAGAUAGAUGUUAUCACAAAGCAAAGAAGUUGCUGAAGGAAAACUUUGGAAAUAAAUACACAAUCUCAUGUGCUUAUUUGGAAAAGGUCCUGUCCUGAUCUCAAAUAAAAUCUGAUAACUCUAAAUUGCUGCAAGAUUUUGCCCUGUUUCUUAGGAGCUGUUGCAACGCCGUGGAGGAAAUGGAAUACAUAGAGGAACUGGACACAAUAUCCAACAUGAGAAGCAUUGUCUUCAAGUUGCCGUACGAACUCAGGGAGAAAUGGCGCAACAAGGCUUUUACAAGAACAGCAAAAUCACCAGCAAAGCAGCUGCUACAGGAGCUCUGUCUGAGAGGCUUUGGAUGGGACAAGCUGCGUCGGACAGAUGGCUGGAAUGGAUUAGCUGUCUGGAAAACUCCAAGGCUUCAGUGUUGCACACUGUCUGAAAUCAAAGGGGUAUGGAGUAAAAAAAUCUGUGGAACUUCAUCACUUUUCUGAUGCCAGUGAGAGUGGCUAUGGUUCGGUGAGCUACCUAAGACAGGUUAAUGGCCAGGAUGUAGUACAUGUCACCUUUGUCCCACAAAAGAGAGAAAGAGUCCUUCCAUUGAAGUGCAUCACAGUGCCACGACUGGAGCUGGCUGCUGCAGCACUGCUGGUGAAGGUGGACAGACUGCUGAGAAGAGAAUUACACCUGGAAUUAAGCCCUCAGUUUUCUGGACUGACAGUCAAACGGUGCUGAAGUACAUUGCAAACAACCAGGCAAAGUUCAAGACCUAUGUAAUCAACAGAGUCUCACUGAUUCACAACAACUCAGACCCCUCUCAAUGCAGGUAUGUAAACAGCAAAGACAAUCCUGCUGAUGACUGCUCAAGAUGAUUGAGCGCAAGCAAAUUCAUGGAGCAGAAAAGAAGGAUGCACGGUCCUGAAUUCUUAUGGAAGUUGGACGAAGGCUAGCAAGUGGAAGCAUUGGGCUCAGUGUUGCAGGAUGAUCCAGAGAUCUGGAGAAAUACUGCUGUGUUGACAACAUUGGUGAAGAACACUAAAGCCCCCACAGAUCAUCUUAUAUUUUCUUUUCAGACUGGAUGAGGCUUCUGAAAGCUGUAGCAUGGUAUCUCAAGCUAAAGAAAAGGUGCUCUCAAAAUGUGUUGUGUGCCAGCGUCUGAGAGGCAAAACAAAGGAGCAGAAGAUGGCAGAUGUGACGUUAGAGCCUGAUCUCCUGCCCUUCAUCAAUGUUGGACUGGACUACUGUGGCCCAAUUGAAGUACGGCGAGGGAGAAGUACCAUGAAAAGGUAUGGAGUUCUGUUCACAUGCAUGUCCUGCAGAGCUGUUCAUUUAGCAGUCGCUUUCUCUUUGGAUACUCAUGCAUUCAUGGUUUGAGGAGAUUUAUUUGUAGGAGGGGCCAAGUUAAGCACAUCAGAUCUAACAACAGAACAAACCUGGUGGGCGCUCAAGCUGAGCUUAAGAGGGCUCUGAUGUCGCUGAAUGAGAAGAAAAUCCAGGAUGCCCUGCCUGGUGCGAUCAGUGAAGAUCCAGACAAAGACUUCAGUCCUUGAGAGGCCCAUUACUAAGCUGUGCUGAAUCCCAGACACUGAAGAAUGAAUGUUCCUGACCACAUAUAAGGAAUGUAAUGUAUACUUUCUUUUCAUAUUCAUGCAUUAUUUUUUUUUAUCUUCUAAAAGCUUUCAGUGCUAAUUUCCCAGUAAUUGUUUAUUAUAUGGCUCCCUUUUGUAUAUUUAGGUAAUUAAUUCCAUAGAGAAUAAUUAGGGGCCGGUGUGUAGGAGCCGCAUUUAGUGUUUAUUUCUAUAUGUUUAUAUUUUUUCUUUUUCCAUUUUGAGAGAGUGUGCCCCCUGCAGGAAGCAUGGGUGCAACCCUAUAAAUAUGGUGUUGCAUGCAGCACAAUGGUGGAGAAAGCAGACCAGCUCAGAACCACACUCAUUUUGACCUCGGCCAGUCUCAGCCCUGCCACACACCAAGCAGAAGCCCUGCUUGGUGCUAUAACAUAAGAUUAGAGCAGUUUAAUUACUUCUUUUUUAUUUAUUUGAAAUAAAACAAGUCAAC